rnacentral:rRNA from 1 species
GAUGAACGCUGGCGGCGUGCCUAAUACAUGCAAGUCGAGCGAACGGACGAGAAGCUUGCUUCUCUGAUGUUAGCGGCGGACGGGUGAGUAACACGUGGAUAACCUACCUAUAAGACUGGGAUAACUUCGGGAAACCGGAGCUAAUACCGGAUAAUAUUUUGAACCGCAUGGUUCAAAAGUGAAAGACGGUCUUGCUGUCACUUAUAGAUGGAUCCGCGCUGCAUUAGCUAGUUGGUAAGGUAACGGCUUACCAAGGCAACGAUGCAUAGCUGACCUGAGAGGGUGUACCGCCCCUCUGGCACUGAGCCACGGCCCAGACCCCGAGGGGGGGCACCAGCGCGGACUCUUCCCAACGGGGCGAAACCCUGCCGGAGCACCGCCGGCUAGAUGCUGAAGGUUUGCGGUCUGAAAACCUGUUUUUGUGGGAAAAAACUAUUUGUAAGGUAACGUGGCCAUUUUGACGGUAACCAAUCAAGAAGCCCCCGCUAACUACCUG